CGGGACGUGGCGCAGCUUGGUUAGCGCACUGGUCUGGGGGACCAGGGGUCGCCGGUUCGAAUCCGGCCGUCCCGACCA
rnacentral:tRNA from 1 species